GCGCUAUAGCUCAGUUGGCAGAGCGUUACACUAGUAAUGUAAAGGUCAUGAGUUCAAAUCUCGUUAGCGC
rnacentral:tRNA from 1 species